rnacentral:rRNA from 1 species
GUGAACGCUGGCGGUAGGCCUAACACAUGCAAGUCGAACGGCAGCACAGUAAGAGCUUGCUCUUCCGGGUGGCGAGUGGCGGACGGGUGAGGAAUACAUCGGCAUCUACUUUUUCGUGGGGGAUAACGUAGGGAAACUUACGCUAAUACCGCAUACGACCUACGGGUGAAAGCAGGGGAUCUUCGGACCUUGCGCGAUUGAAUGAGCCGAUGUCGGAUUAGCUAGUUGGCGGGGUAAAGGCCCACCAAGGCGACGAUCCGUAGCUGGUCUGAGAGGAUGAUCAGCCACACUGGAACUGAGACACGGUCCAGACUCCUACGGGAGGCAGCAGUGGGGAAUAUUGGACAAUGGGCGCAAGCCUGAUCCAGCCAUACCGCGUGGGUGAAGAAGGCCUUCGGGUUGUAAAGCCCUUUUGUUGGGAAAGAAAAGCAGCAGGUUAAUACCCCGCUGUUCUGACGGUACCCAAAGAAUAAGCACCGGCUAACCUCGUG